rnacentral:rRNA from 1 species
CAAUGGACGAAAGUCUGACGGAGCAACGCCGCGUGAGUGAUGAAGGUUUUCGGAUCGUAAAACUCUGUUGUUAGGGAAGAACAAGUACCGUUCGAAUAGGGCGGUACCUUGACGGUGCCUAACCAGAAAGCCACGGCUAACUACGUGCCAGCAGCCGCGGUAAUACGUAGGUGGCAAGCGUUGUCCGGAAUCAUUGGGCGUAAAGCGCGCGCAGGUGGUUCCUUAAGUCUGAUGUGAAAGCCCCCGGCUCAACCGGGGAGGGUCAUUGGAAACUGGGGAACUUGAGUGCAGAAGAGGAAAGUGGAAUUCCACGUGUAGCGGUGAAAUGCGUAGAGAUGUGGAGGAACACCAGUGGCGAAGGCGACUUUCUGGUCUGUAACUGACACUGAGGCGCGAAAGCGUGGGGAGCGAACAGGAUUAGAUACCCUGGUAGUCCACGCCGUAAACGAUGAGUGCUAAGUGUUAGGGGGUUUCCGCCCCUUAGUGCUGCAGCAAACGCAUUAAGCACUCCGCCUGGGGAGUACGG